CGACAUGUGACCUAAAGAUUCAUACUC
rnacentral:piRNA from 1 species